ACGGUCCUAAGGUAGCGAAAUUCCUUGUCGGGUAAGUUCCGACCUGCACGAAUGGCGUAACGACUUCCCCACUGUCUCGACCAGGAGCUCGGCGAAAUUGCAGUACGAGUAAAGAUGCUCGUUAAGCGCAGAAGGACGAAAAGACCCCGGGACCUUUACUAUACCUUGGUAUUGGCGUUAGGCGCGGAUUGUGUAGCAUAGGCGGGAGGCUUCGAAGCGUGGGCGCCAGCUCAUGUGGAGCCGCAAGGUGAAAUACCGCUCUGUUCUCGUUUGACGUCUAACCUCGACAAGUCAUCCUUGUCAGGGACAGUGCCUGGCGGGUAGUUCAACUGGGGCGGUUGCCUCCCAAAGAGUAACGGAGGCGCUCAAAGGUCCGCUCAGCCCGGUUGGCAAUCGGGUGUCGAGUGUAAUCGCACAAGCGGGCUUGACUGCGAGGACGACGGUCCGAGCAGGGACGAAAGUCGGAGAUAGUGAUCCGGUGCCGGCGCACGGGCGCGGCAUCGCUCAACGGAUAAAAGGUACCCCGGGGAUAACAGGCUGAUCAUUCCCAAGAGUCCAUAUCGACGGGAUGGUUUGGCACCUCGAUGUCGGCUCGUCGCAUCCUGGGGCUGGAGCAGGUCCCAAGGGUUCGGCUGUUCGCCGAUUAAAGCGGCACGCGAGCUGGGUUCAGAACGUCGUGAGACAGUUUGGUCUCUAUCCUCUGCGCUCGUUGGAAUCCUGAGGAGGCCUGCCCAUAGUACGAGAGGACCUGGGUGGACGAACCUCUGGUAUGCCGGUUGUCGCGCCAGCGGCACGGCCGGUUGGCUACGUUCGGGAGGGAUAACCGCUGAAAGCAUCUAAGCGGGAAGCCUGCUCCAAGAUUAGGAUUCCGUACGGUCUUGAACCGUUGUAGCCCGCAUGUUGAACACGUGUUUGAUAGGCCGGAGGUGGAAGCCCCGUGAGGGGUGGAGCCGACCGGUACUAACGGGCGACGGCGACAUAAC
rnacentral:rRNA from 1 species